rnacentral:rRNA from 1 species
AAGUCGUAACAAGGUUUCCGUAGGUGAACCUGCGGAAGGAUCAUUACAGAGAGACGGCCCUCCGCGUCCGCGUGGCGGGGUCCGACCCUCCCAACCCCCUGUUUACAGACCUCAUUUUUAAACUCUUCGCGGGCGCUCGCGCCCUCCACGAAAAUUUAAACAAUCAAAACUUUCAACAACGGAUCUCUUGGUUCUGGCAUCGAUGAAGAACGCAGCGAAAUGCGAUAAAUAAUGUGAAUUGCAGAAUUCAGUGAAUCAUCGAGUUUUUGAACGCACAUUGCGCUCCAUGGCAUUCCGUGGAGCAUGCCUGUUCGAGCGUCACAAAAAGGGCAUCGAGCUUCGGCUUGGUCUUGGACGUCGCGGCGGUCCGCCGCGCGUCUCGAAUCGGUUGGCGGCGGAGCCGAGCCCCGAGCGCAUCAGAUCUUCUUCUUUCGCUCCGGUCGGGCAUUGGUAUUCGUUCGAGCCUCCAGAAACCCCACAUUUUCAGUGAUUGACCUCGGAUCAGGUAGGGAUACCCGCUGAACUUAA